rnacentral:sRNA from 1 species
GUUAACCUUUGCGUUGUUCUUGUUCUGUCCGAAGUCUAGAUCUCUGUAGUUCACAUAUGCUUGUCUUGGAUUGCUUGAGACAUAAGGCGCCAUGUAAUUGUAUAUCUCUUUGAUCCAGUUGAUUUUUCUACUCGAUGUCUUGUCAUUCUCUAGCCAGUUCGCGU